CAGAGGGGCGAGCGUUGUUCGGAAUUACUGGGCGUAAAGGGCGCGUAGGCGGCCUCUUAAGUCGAACGUGAAAUCCCCGGGCUCAACCCGGGAACUGCGUCCGAUACUGGGGGGCUUGAAUCCGGGAGAGGGAUGUGGAAUUCCAGGUGUAGCGGUGAAAUGCGUAGAUAUCUGGAGGAACACUGGUGGCGAAGGCGGCAUCCUGGACCGGUAUUGACGCUGAGGCGCGAAAGCCAGGGGAGCAAACGGGAUUAGAUACCCCGGUAGUCCUGGCCCUAAACGAUGAAUGCUUGGUGUGGCGGGUAUCGAUCCCUGCCGUGCCGAAGCUAACGCAUUAAGCAUUCCGCCUGGGGAGUACGGUCGCAAGGCUG
rnacentral:rRNA from 1 species